rnacentral:rRNA from 1 species
GAAGCCGGGGCUUGCUCUGGUGGAUUAGUGGCGAACGGGUGAGUAACACGUGAGCAACCUGCCCUGGACUCUGGGAUAAGCGCUGGAAACGGCGUCUAAUACUGGAUACGAGACGUGGCCGCAUGGUCAACGUUUGGAAAGAUUUUUCGGUCUGGGAUGGGCUCGCGGCCUAUCAGCUUGUUGGUGAGGUAAUGGCUCACCAAGGCGUCGACGGGUAGCCGGCCUGAGAGGGUGACCGGCCACACUGGGACUGAGACACGGCCCAGACUCCUACGGGAGGCAGCAGUGGGGAAUAUUGCACAAUGGGCGGAAGCCUGAUGCAGCAACGCCGCGUGAGGGAUGACGGCCUUCGGGUUGUAAACCUCUUUUAGCAGGGAAGAAGCGUGAGUGACGGUACCUGCAGAAAAAGCGCCGGCUAACUACGUGCCAGCAGCCGCGGUAAUACGUAGGGCGCAAGCGUUAUCCGGAAUUAUUGGGCGUAAAGAGCUCGUAGGCGGUUUGUCGCGUCUGCUGUGAAAUCCCGAGGCUCAACCUCGGGCCUGCAGUGGGUACGGGCAGACUAGAGUGCGGUAGGGGAGAUUGGAAUUCCUGGUGUAGCGGUGGAAUGCGCAGAUAUCAGGAGGAACACCGAUGGCGAAGGCAGAUCUCUGGGCCGUAACUGACGCUGAGGAGCGAAAGGGUGGGGAGCAAACAGGCUUAGAUACCCUGGUAGUCCACCCCGUAAACGUUGGGAACUAGUUGUGGGGUC